ACACAAUGACUCUGACUCACAUCCUCGACACGAGUCACUGCAGCUUGGUGUCUGCAAUAAUUGAGGACGUUAGAAGACGUGUGUGUGCCAUUUUUGAUUCCUUUUUGACUUCCAAUUCAUCUUUUUUGCCAUUUUAUUUUUGUUUUUUGGCAACAUUGAAAGCCAGCACCUUGGAAAGAAAGUCCGUAAUCACCCACAGGCAUUACAGGAAAAUACCGUCCACCAAGCAACCAAUCAGAGCACACGAUUUUACCAGAAGUAGUUUGGCCACAUCACCUCCUCCAGAUCACAGGCAUCACAUCAUCCCUGUCCAGGCAAUGAGGCUCGCGUAUCAUAUCCCAUCCAGGACUGACCCCAACUCACUGCCUCCACAUCUCCUCAGUGUCUCCUCCACUGCUCACAGAAGAGGCAGAAGGGCAUGAGGUCGGGGGUCGAACACUUUCCAACACCAAGCUGAACAGAGUUCCUCACUCAGGUUGAGAAAUAUGGAGUAAGAGGGUGAACGGACGUUUCCUUCCACCCUCAGGAGGUCGUCUGGCAGUUCUGCAGGAACAUGAUGUCACUGCUCACGUUCUUUUUUACACACUGUACACAGUAACAUCAAAACUCCGUUCACUGAGCAGCAGAGACCUGAUGUUGUUAGACUUUGAAAGUCGUCUCGUGUGAACUGGAUUCUCCACAGCUGCUUUAGUGGAUGUUCUGAGCUCUACACUCUCAGACAAUAAAAUACGUACAUUAUUCAGGGCUCGAAAUUCUUUUUUUUUUCACCAGCCAGCCGGACUAGUUCCCUUCCAAAGUAACUCGCCAAACAGAAAAUCAACUCGCCAAAAUUUGUUCAUGUAUGAAUUUUACUUCUGUCAAAAAUAACACAAAAAAGAGAGUAGUUACCAUUGUUCAUGACUA